rnacentral:rRNA from 1 species
UACGUAGGGGGCGAGCGUUGUCCGGAAUUAUUGGGCGUAAAGGGUGCGUAGGCGGUCUUCUAAGUCUGAUGUGAAAGCCCCCGGCUCAACCGGGGAGAGCCAUUGGAAACUGGGAGACUUGAGUGCAGAAGAGGAGAGCGGAAUUCCAUGUGUAGCGGUGAAAUGCGUAGAGAUAUGGAGGAACACCAGUGGCGAAGGCGGCUUCCUGGCCUGUAACUGACGCUGAGGCGCGAAAGCGUGGGGAGCAAACAGG